rnacentral:ribozyme from 14 species
AAAUAAGUAGGAGAGAGGAGAGAAGCAGAGGAGAGCAGAGGUGUGUAUGUGUGUGUGUGUGUGUGUGUGUGCGUAUUUUUUUUUGUUUUUCUCAUCCUUUUAUCGUCCUGUAGUCGUCCAAGUCCGCUAUGUAUCACGCAGAAAAAAACACUGGUGACGCGCGCCAAACAAAUUAUACGUCAUCAAAUCAAACAAUUUC